CCUACGUGAGGCAGCAGUGAGGAAUAUUGGUCAAUGGACGGAAGUCUGAACCAGCCAUGCCGCGUGCAGGAAGACGGCUUUAUGAGUUGUAAACUGCUUUUGUACAAGGGUAAACCUGAAUACGUGUAUUCAGCUGAAAGUACUGUACGAAUAAGGAUCGGCUAACUCCGUGCCAGCAGCCGCGGUAAUACGGAGGAUCCAAGCGUUAUCCGGAUUUAUUGGGUUUAAAGGGUGCGUAGGCGGAUUGAUAAGAUAGAGGUGAAAUGUCCGAGCUUAACUCGGGAACUGCCUAUAAUACUGUUGAUCUAGAGAGUAGAUGCGGUAGGCGGAAUGUAUGGUGUAGCAGUGAAAUGCUUAGAGAUCAUACAGAACACCGAUUGCGAAGGCAGCUUACCAAGCUAUAUCUGACGUUGAGGCACGAAAGCGUGGGGAGCAAACAGGAUUAGAUACCCUGGUAGUC
rnacentral:rRNA from 1 species